UAGAGUUUGAUCCUGGCUCAGAUUGAACGCUGGCGGCAGGCCUAACACAUGCAAGUCGAGCGGUAACAGAAGGUAGCUUGCUACUUUGCUGACGAGCGGCGGACGGGUGAGUAAUGCCUGGGAACAUGCCUUGAGGUGGGGGACAACAGUUGGAAACGACUGCUAAUACCGCAUAAUGUCUACGGACCAAAGGGGGCUUCGGCUCUCGCCUUUAGAUUGGCCCAAGUGGGAUUAGCUAGUUGGUGAGGUAAUGGCUCACCAAGGCGACGAUCCCUAGCUGGUUUGAGAGGAUGAUCAGCCACACUGGGACUGAGACACGGCCCAGACUCCUACGGGAGGCAGCAGUGGGGAAUAUUGCACAAUGGGCGCAAGCCUGAUGCAGCCAUGCCGCGUGUGUGAAGAAGGCCUUCGGGUUGUAAAGCACUUUCAGUCAGGAGGAAAGGUUAGUAGUUAAUACCUGCUAGCUGUGACGUUACUGACAGAAGAAGCACCGGCUAACUCCGUGCCAGCAGCCGCGGUAAUACGGAGGGUGCGAGCGU
rnacentral:rRNA from 1 species